rnacentral:rRNA from 1 species
CCCUUAGAUGUUCUGGGCCGCACGCGCGCUACACUGACGGAGGCAGCGAGCAUGUCCUGCGCCGAGAGGUGUGGGGAAUCUUGUGAGUCUCCGUCGUGCUGGGGAUAGAUGGUUGCAAUUGUCGAUCUUGAACGAGGAAUUCCUAGUAAGCGCGAGUCAUCAGCUCGCGCUGAUUACGUCCCUGCCCUUUGUACACACCGCCCGUCGCUCCUACCGAUUGGGUGUGCUGGUGAAAUGUUCGGAUCGGCCGUUUGUCGCGGUUUCCGCGUCAUGUGGCUGAGAAGUUCAUUAAACCCUCCCACCUAGAGGAAGGAGAAGUCGUAACA